UUACUUACCUGGACGGAGCAUAUGGGCGAUCAAAGAGGCCCAUGGCUUCAGUCGGUGGCCCACAUUGCACAUCGUGGGUGCGCCCGCUUAAUUUGAGAAUUUACGUCAUAAUUUGUGACAGUUGGGGGCCUGCGUUCGCGCGGCCCCUGC
rnacentral:snRNA from 1 species